AGGUGAAGUGAUUUACUCAUGGAGCUGAAGUCAGUCGAAGAUACCAGCUGGCUGCAACUGUUUAUUAAAAACACAGCACUGUGCAAACACGAAAGUGGACGUAUACGGUGUGACGCCUGCCCGGUGCCGGAAGGUUAAUUGAUGGGGUCAGCGCAAGCGAAGCUCCUGAUCGAAGCCCCGGUAAACGGCGGCCGUAACUAUAACGGUCCUAAGGUAGCGAAAUUCCUUGUCGGGUAAGUUCCGACCUGCACGAAUGGCGUAAUGAUGGCCAGGCUGUCUCCACCCGAGACUCAGUGAAAUUGAACUCGCUGUGAAGAUGCAGUGUACCCGCGGCAAGACGGAAAGACCCCGUGAACCUUUACUAUAGCUUGACACUGAACAUUGAGCCUUGAUGUGUAGGAUAGGUGGGAGGCUUUGAAGUGUGGACGCCAGUCUGCAUGGAGCCGGCCUUGAAAUACCACCCUUUAAUGUUUGAUGUUCUAACGUGGACCCGUGAUCCGGGUUGCGGACAGUGUCUGGUGGGUAGUUUGACUGGGGCGGUCUCCUCCUAAAGAGUAACGGAGGAGCACGAAGGUUGGCUAAUCCUGGUCGGACAUCAGGAGGUUAGUGCAAUGGCAUAAGCCAGCUUGACUGCGAGCGUGACGGCGCGAGCAGGUGCGAAAGCAGGUCAUAGUGAUCCGGUGGUUCUGAAUGGAAGGGCCAUCGCUCAACGGAUAAAAGGUACUCCGGGGAUAACAGGCUGAUACCGCCCAAGAGUUCAUAUCGACGGCGGUGUUUGGCACCUCGAUGUCGGCUCAUCACAUCCUGGGGCUGAAGUAGGUCCCAAGGGUAUGGCUGUUCGCCAUUUAAAGUGGUACGCGAGCUGGGUUUAGAACGUCGUGAGACAGUUCGGUCCCUAUCUGCCGUGGGCGCUGGAGAACUGAGGGGGGCUGCUCCUAGUACGAGAGGACCGGAGUGGACGCAUCACUGGUGUUCGGGUUGUCAUGCCAAUGGCACUGCCCGGUAGCUAAAUGCGGAAGAGAUAAGUGCUGAAAGCAUCUAAGCACGAAACUUGCCCCGAGAUGAGUUCUCCCUGAGACUUUAGGUCUCCUGAAGGAACGUUGAAGACGACGACGUUGAUAGGCCGGGUGUGUAAGCGCAGCGAUGCGUUGAGCUAACCGGUACUAAUGAACCGUGAGGCUUAACCUUACA
rnacentral:rRNA from 1 species